UACGUAGGUGGCAAGCGUUGUCCGGAAUUAUUGGGCGUAAAGAGCGUGUAGGCGGCCAGAUAGGUCUGCUGUGAAAACUCGAGGCUCAACCUCGAGCUGUCGGCGGAAACCAUUUGGCUAGAGUCCGGAAGAGGAGAGUGGAAUUCCUGGUGUAGCGGUGAAAUGCGCAGAUAUCAGGAAGAACACCUAUGGCGAAGGCAGCUCUCUGGGACGGUACUGACGCUGAGACGCGAAAGCGUGGGGAGCGAACAGG
rnacentral:rRNA from 1 species